GAUGAACGCUGGCGGCGUGCUUAACACAUGCAAGUCGAACGAACCUUCGGGUUAGUGGCGGACGGGUGAGUAACGCGUGAGAAUCUGCCCUCAGGAGGGGGAUAACGGUUGGAAACGACCGCUAAUACCCCAUAUGCCGAUAGGUGAAAUGAAUUUCGCCUGAGGAUGAGCUCGCGUCUGAUUAGCUUGUUGGUGAGGUAAUGGCUCACCAAGGCUUCGAUCAGUAGCUGGUCUGAGAGGAUGAUCAGCCACACUGGGACUGAGACACGGCCCAGACUCCUACGGGAGGCAGCAGUGGGGAAUUUUCCGCAAUGGGCGAAAGCCUGACGGAGCAACGCCGCGUGAGGGACGAAGGCCUCUGGGCUGUAAACCUCUUUUCUCAAGGAAGAAGAUAUGACGGUGCUUGAGGAAUAAGCCACGGCUAAUUCCGUGCCAGCAGCCGCGGUAAUACGGGAGUGGCAAGCGUUAUCCGGAAUUAUUGGGCGUAAAGCGUCCGCAGGCGGCCUUUCAAGUCUGCUGUUAAAGCGUGGAGCUUAACUCCAUUAUGGCAGUGGAAACUGAUCGGCUUGAGUAUGGUAGGGGCAGAGGGAAUUCCCGGUGUAGCGGUGAAAUGCAUAGAUAUCGGGAAGAACACCAGUGGCGAAGGCGCUCUGCUGGGCCAUUACUGACGCUCAUGGACGAAAGCCAGGGGAGCGAAAGGGAUUAGAUACCCCUGUAGUCCUGGCCGUAAACGAUGAACACUAGGUGUCGGGGGAAUCGACCCCUUCGGUGUCGUAGCUAACGCGUUAAGUGUUCCGCCUGGGGAGUACGCACGCAAGUGUGAAACUCAAAGGAAUUGACGGGGGCCCGCACAAGCGGUGGAGUAUGUGGUUUAAUUCGAUGCAACGCGAAGAACCUUACCAGGGUUUGACAUCCUGAGAACCUCUUAGAAAUUUGAGGGUGCCUUCGGGAAUUCAGUGACAGGUGGUGCAUGGCUGUCGUCAGCUCGUGUCGUGAGAUGUUGGGUUAAGUCCCGCAACGAGCGCAACCCACGUUUUUAGUUGCCAGCAUUUAGUUGGGCACUCUAGAAAGACCGCCGGUGAUAAACCGGAGGAAGGUGUGGAUGACGUCAAGUCAUCAUGCCCCUUACACCCUGGGCUACACACGUACUACAAUGCUACGGACAAAGGGCAGCAAACUCGCGAGAGCUAGCAAAUCCCAUAAACCGUGGCUCAGUUCAGAUCGUAGGCUGCAACUCGCCUACGUGAAGUAGGAAUCGCUAGUAAUCGCAGGUCAGCAUACUGCGGUGAAUACGUUCCCGGGCCUUGCACUCACCGCCCGUC
rnacentral:rRNA from 1 species